rnacentral:tRNA from 1 species
GGUUCUGUGGCUCAUCUGGUCAGAGCCUGGUGCUAAUAAUGCCAAGGUCAUGGGUUUGAUCCCUGUAUGGGCCA